GAUGAACGCUAGCGAUAGGCCUAACACAUGCAAGUCGAGGGGCAUCACAUGAAGUAGCAAUACGGAUGGUGGCGACCGGCGCACGGGUGAGUAACACGUAUGCAACCUGCCUUCAACAAGGGGAUAACCCGUUGAAAGACGGACUAAUACCCUAUAACACAGGGGUCCCGCAUGGGAAUAUUUGUUAAAGGACAACCGGUUGAAGAUGGGCAUGCGUUCCAUUAGCUAGUUGGCGGGGUAACGGCCCACCAAGGCAACGAUGGAUAGGGGAACUGAGAGGUUUAUCCCCCACACUGGUACUGAGACACGGACCAGACUCCUACGGGAGGCAGCAGUGAGGAAUAUUGGUCAAUGGACGCAAGUCUGAACCAGCCACGUCGCGUGAAGGAAGACGGCCCUACGGGUUGUAAACUUCUUUUGCAAGGGAAUAAAGUGGGCCACGUGUGGCCUUUUGCAAGUACCUUGCGAAUAAGGAUCGGCUAACUCCGUG
rnacentral:rRNA from 1 species